rnacentral:rRNA from 1 species
AUUGAACGCUGGCGGCAUGCCUUACACAUGCAAGUCGAACGGUAACAGGUCUUCGGAUGCUGACGAGUGGCGAACGGGUGAGUAAUACAUCGGAACGUGCCUAGUAGUGGGGGAUAACUACUCGAAAGAGUGGCUAAUACCGCAUGAGAUCUACGGAUGAAAGCAGGGGAUCGCAAGACCUUGUGCUACUAGAGCGGCCGAUGGCAGAUUAGGUAGUUGGUGGGAUAAAAGCUUACCAAGCCGACGAUCUGUAGCUGGUCUGAGAGGACGAUCAGCCACACUGGGACUGAGAAACGGCCCAGACUCCUACGGGAGGCAGCAGUGGGGAAUUUUGGACAAUGGGCGCAAGCCUGAUCCAGCAAUGCCGCGUGCAGGAUGAAGGCCUUCGGGUUGUAACUGCUUUUGUACGGAACGAAAAGCCCCGGGUUAAUACCCUGGGGUCAUGACGGUACCGUAAGAAUAAGCACCGGCUAACUACGUGCCAGCCGCCGCGGUAG